CUAACAAGGAUUCCCCUAGUAACGGCGAGUGAAGCGGGAAGAGCUCAAAUUUGUAAUCUGGCGGCCCUUGGCCGUCCGAGUUGUAGUCUGGAGAAGCGUUUUCCGCGCCGGACCGUGUACAAGUCCCUUGGAACAGGGCGUCACAGAGGGUGAGAAUCCCGUCUUUGACACGGACUGCCGGUGCUUUGCGAUGCGCUCUCGAAGAGUCGAGUUGUUUGGGAAUGCAGCUCAAAACGGGUGGUAAAUUCCAUCUAAAGCUAAAUAUGGGCGAAAGACCGAUAGCGAACAAGUACCGUGAGGGAAAGAUGAAAAGCACUUUGGAAAGAGAGUUAAACAGUACGUGAAAUUGUUGAAAGGGAAACGCUUGAAGUCAGUCGCGUCUCCCGGGAUUCAGCCUCGGCUUCUGCAGGGGCGUACUUCCCGGGGCGACGGGCCAGCAUCGAUUUCGAUCGUCGGAGAAGGGCCUUGGGAACGUGGCACCUUCGGGUGUGUUAUAGCCCGGGGUCGCAUGCGACGGUUGGGAUCGAGGACCGCAGCACGCCUUUAACAGGCCGGGGUUCGCCCACGUAACGUGCUUAGGAUGCUGGCGUAAUGGCUUUAAGCGACCCGUCUUGA
rnacentral:rRNA from 1 species